rnacentral:rRNA from 1 species
GACGAACGCUGGCGGCGUGCUUAACACAUGCAAGUCGAACGGAAAGGCCCUGCUUUUGUGGGGUGCUCGAGUGGCGAACGGGUGAGUAACACGUGAGUAACCCGCCCUUGACUUUGGGAUAACUUCAGGAAACUGGGGCUAAUACCGGAUAGGAGCUCCUGCUGCAUGGUGGGGGUUGGAAAGUUUCGGCGGUUGGGGAUGGACUCGCGGCUUAUCAGCUUGUUGGUGGGGUAGUGGCUUACCAAGGCUUUGACGGGUAGCCGGCCUGAGAGGGUGACCGGCCACAUUGGGACUGAGAUACGGCCCAGACUCCUACGGGAGGCAGCAGUGGGGAAUAUUGCACAAUGGGCGGAAGCCUGAUGCAGCAACGCCGCGUGCGGGAUGACGGCCUUCGGGUUGCAAACCGCUUUCGCCUGUGACGAAGCGUGAGUGACGGUAAUGGGUAAAGAAGCACCGGCUAACUACGUGCCAGCAGCCGCGGUGAUACGUAGGGUGCGAGCUUUGUCCGGAUUUAUUGGGCGUAAAGGGCUCGUAGGUGGUUGAUCGCGUCGGAAGUGUAAUCUUGGGGCUUAACCCUGAGCGUGCUUUCGAUACGGGUUGACUUGAGGAAGGUAGGGGAGAAUGGAAUUCCUGGUGGAGCGGUGGAAUGCGCAGAUAUCAGGAGGAACACCAGUGGCGAAGGCGGUUCUCUGGGCCUUUCCUGACGCUGAGGAGCGAAAGCGUGGGGAGCGAACAGGCUUAGAUACCCUGGUAGUCCACGCUGUAAACGGUGGGUACUAGGUGUGGGGUCCAUUCCACGGGUUCCGUGCCGUAGCUAACGCUUUAAGUACCCCGCCUGGGGAGUACGGCCGCAAGGCUAAAACUCAAAGGAAUUGACGGGGCCCCGCACAAGCGGCGGAGCAUGCGGAUUAAUUCGAUGCAACGCGUAGAACCUUACCUGGGUUUGACAUGGAUCGGGAGUGCUCAGAGAUGGGUGUGCCUCUUUUGGGGUCGGUUCACAGGUGGUGCAUGGCUGUCGUCAGCUCGUGUCGUGAGAUGUUGGGUUAAGUCCCGCAACGAGCGCAACCCUUGUUCACUGUUGCCAGCACGUUAUGGUGGGGACUCAGUGGAGACCGCCGGGGUCAACUCGGAGGAAGGUGGGGAUGACGUCAAGUCAUCAUGCCCCUUAUGUCCAGGGCUUCACGCAUGCUACAAUGGCUGGUACAGAGAGUGGCGAGCCUGUGAGGGUGAGCGAAUCUCGGAAAGCCGGUCUCAGUUCGGAUUGGGGUCUGCAACUCGACCUCAUGAAGUCGGAGUCGCUAGUAAUCGCAGAUCAGCAACGCUGCGGUGAAUACGUUCCCGGG